rnacentral:misc_RNA from 1 species
GCACACGUGGACACAGAAGGCCCAGAGGCAGAAGACUAACCCAUAUUUGCAUUGCGAGUCCCGAACUCCUGCGUCUUCGCCGUUUAUCUACAGUCUCUCCGUCUGGGGUUAUUAUAAAAAAAUAGGAUUUCAUAAAACCCCCAAAUCAGACCGGACCCUGUCUACAAAUUCGUACAUCUCCAAGAUACACCCCAACGCUUUAUAGAGCGAUAUUGAGAGAGUGGAAUUUUGAUCCCCGAAACGAAGCUAUGCCUCGUCGUAGGGACGAAGACGACGAGGAGCUCGAUGCAGAUGAUGAGGAAUACGAUGACCAGGAGCAGCAGGUGAUGGACGACGAAGAAGAAGAG